GGCUCGGUGAUUACUUUGCCUUUAUGGCAGUAUACGCUAUUCUGAAAGAGUAUGAAAGAUAAAUACAUUAAUUUUAAUGAGAGCC
rfam:Arabis alpina cultivar Pajares chromosome 8, whole genome shotgun sequence.